GACGAACGCUGGCGGCGUGCCUAACACAUGCAAGUCGAACGAGAAUCAACAUAUGAAGUUUUCGGACAGAUUAGGUUGAGGAAAGUGGCGGACGGGCGAGUAACGCGUGAGCAACCUACCCUAGACUGGGGGAUAACGUCGGGAAACCGGCGCUAAUACCGCAUAACACUAUGAUAUCGCAUGGUAACAUAGUCAAAGCUCCGGCGGUUUAGGAUGGGCUCGCGUCCAAUUAGCUAGUUGGUGAGGUAAAGGCUCACCAAGGCAACGAUUGGUAGCCGAACUGAGAGGUUGAUCGGCCGCAUUGGGACUGAGACACGGCCCAGACUCCUACGGGAGGCAGCAGUGGGGAAUAUUGCGCAAUGGAGGGAACUCUGACGCAGCAACGCCGCGUGAAGGAAGAAAGGCUUUCGGGUUGUAAACUUCUUUGAUCGGGGACGAAGAUGACGGUACCCGAGGAACAAGCCAACGGCUAACUAACGUGCCAGCAGCCGCGGUAAAAGUCAACGUCG
rnacentral:rRNA from 1 species